GGAUCUCGAAAGCCUGUCCCAGUUCGGACUGGAGUCUGCAACCCGACUCCACGAAGUUGGAUUCGCUAGUAAUCGCGCAUCAGCCAUGGCGCGGUGAAUACGUUCCCGGGCCUUGUACACACCGCCCGUCAAGCCAUGGGAGCCGGGGGCGCCUGAAGUCCGGGACCGCGAGGACCGGCCUAGGGCGAAACUGGUAACUGGGGCUAAGUCGUAACAAGGUAAC
rnacentral:rRNA from 1 species